CUGGUUCUCGGCGUGGAUCUCUGGUUUCUCUGCAUGGUGGUGAUGCCCCUGCAGAGGGUGAACUCAUCCAGGCUGCUGCAUUGGUUAGCCAAUCAGCUCUUUAUUCCAAGGAGCUUGAGAAUCAGCAUCCAAUUGGACCAGCUAUGGUUCACCCAUCCGAAACUAUUCCUAAAGGGCCUAGUUGGGGGGAUCUCUUUGAGCCUGGAGUUAAGCAUGCAUUGGCUGUUGGGGUUGGAAU
rnacentral:misc_RNA from 1 species